CAGUCGCCGCGGUAAUACGAAGGGUGCAAGCGUUAAUCGGAAUUACUGGGCGUAAAGCAUGCGUAGGUGGUGGUUUAAGUCCGUUGUGAAAGCCCUGGGCUCAACCUGGGAAUGGCAAUGGAAACUGGACGGCUAGAGUGUGUCAGAGGAUGGUGGAAUUCCCGGUGUAGCGGUGAAAUGCGUAGAGAUCGGAAGGAACAUCUGUGGCGAAGGCGACUAUCUGGGCCAACACUGACACUGAGGCACGAAAGCGUGGGGAGCAAACAGGAUUAGAUACCCCCGUAGUCCCUGUCUCUUAUAC
rnacentral:rRNA from 1 species